AUUCACUAAGACUCUAAUUAAAAGUGAUUAUUUCAGGAAAAUUAAACACAUUUCAGCAUUGGGAACAGAGGUCAAAAUACAUACACAGUAGGUGACCCUUUUAAUUGUUUCUUUCUUUUGUAGGAAUAUGCGAGCACUGGGUUUACAGAUAUAACCUAUCCACUCAAGGAGACCAAAUUUAAUUUUUGAAAUAAGAGAGGAAUAAGAACUUCUAAUCCACGUGACAGAGUCAGAAACUAUUUGUUUAUCCUUCUGUUUGAUAGGGCAAAAAAACACCUGAUCUUGUUUAGACACAUCUCAAAGUCACUCAUUUAGAAGUUAAUCCUUGAGAUCUGAAUAUGACACUCCUCCUGCCUCUUCAUGAAACAUUAGUUCUCAAAGUGAAUAAAUUCUAAGAAAGAGAUAACUGACUUUAAGAUGAAGAAGAAAUACAUUGCCAAAAUUGUCAUAAACUUUCCAGGCUCAGCAAUUCCUUUAUUUCCUCAAGAAUUGCAUAUUCAAGACCUUGCUUCUUUCAGAUGUUCAAUGAAAUUUCAAGCGGAUUAAUUUCCAUGAAGGCGAGGGCUGUGUCAUGUGUUUCACUCAGUGUCCCCAGAGGCUUUCGUGGUGCUUGGAGCAUAGUAGGUACACAAUAUAUAUAUAUAUAUAUAUUUGUUGAGGAAGAUUGGCCCUGAGCUAACAUCUCUGCCAGUCUUCCUCUAGUUUGUAUGUGGGAUGCCGC